GCUGGCGGCGUGCCUAAUACAUGCAAGUCGAGCGAACAGAUAAGGAGCUUGCUCCUUUGACGUUAGCGGCGGACGGGUGAGUAACACGUGGGUAACCUACCUAUAAGACUGGAAUAACUCCGGGAAACCGGGGCUAAUGCCGGAUAACAUAUAGAACCGCAUGGUUCUAUAGUGAAAGAUGGUUUUGCUAUCACUUAUAGAUGGACCCGCGCCGUAUUAGCUAGUUGGUAAGGUAAUGGCUUACCAAGGCGACGAUACGUAGCCGACCUGAGAGGGUGAUCGGCCACACUGGAACUGAGACACGGUCCAGACUCCUACGGGAGGCAGCAGUAGGGAAUCUUCCGCAAUGGGCGAAAGCCUGACGGAGCAACGCCGCGUGAGUGAUGAAGGGUUUCGGCUCGUAAAACUCUGUUAUUAGGGAAGAACAUAUGUGUAAGUAACUGUGCACAUCUGACG
rnacentral:rRNA from 1 species